rnacentral:rRNA from 1 species
UGUAAAGUUCAAGCUCCGAUUUGUGAGGGCGAAACCGCGAAUGGCUCAUUAAAUCAGUCAUAAUCUACUUGAUUGUUUAAAGUUUAUAUGGAUAACUGUGGUAAUUCUAGAGCUAAUACAUGCGUGAAAGGGGCGACUCGUGCAAGCGAGAAGCUUUGCGUUUAUUAGACUAAGACCGGCGUUGGGUCUUCGGACCCAUCUCCAAUAAGGUGACUCUGAGUAAAUAACGGGUGCAAGCCCGUGUUGCCGACCUGGCAUCUCAAACGGUUUAACCACCGGCCAGGCGAAUCAAUCGAGUGUCUGCUCUAUCAACUGUGGAUGGUAGGGUAAUUGCCUACCAUGGUGAUGACGGGUAACGGGGAGUUAGGGCUCGACUCCGGAGAACAAGCCUGAGAAACGGCUAGUAGGACUAAGGUCUGCAGCAGGCGCGAAACUUACACAAUGCUAGAUUAAUGAUAAUUAGCGAUGUAGUGAAGAAAAAUAACGAUGUACUUGCAUUUAAACAUGCUUGUACAAUUGGAAUGAGACGACUUUAAAACAGUUAGUCGAGUAACAAAUGGAGGGCAAGUCUGGUGCCAGCAGCCGCGGUAAUUCCAGCUCCAUUAGCAUACAUUAAAGUUGUUGCGGUUAAAAAGCUCGUAGUUGAAUGUAGUGCGGGUUUUGGCAACGCGUUGCCGUUAAGGGUAGCCUUCGGGUUGCCUGGUUUCGUGGUUUGUUCCAAAGCCCGUUGUUUCGUCACUUAAUCGAGUGCGAAGCGGGUGGGUAUUGCAGAUUUAGCUUCGGCUAAUCACAAGACUCACAAGUUUACCUUGAGAAAAUUAGAGUGCUCAGAGCAGGCAGUUGGGGUGUAAAAGCUCCUUUAUGCUUGAAUAAUGUUGCAUGGAAUAAUAGAAUACGGCCUCGGUUCUAUUCUGUUGGUCUUAUAGAACAACAAACAAGUUGGAUAGCUCACUAAAGGUUUUAGUUAGUUGUGUUUUUAGAAGGUCGUGUUGUUGAGGGUGUAAAAGCCUUUAUACCUCCCUUCUCUAAACAUUAAAGCAACUUUCCAUAAGCUAGAGCUCCUUCCAACUGAGGCAAUGGUUAAAAGAAAUAGUCGCGGCGGCAUCAGUACUGCAUCGUGAGAGGUGAAAUUCUUAGACCGAUGCAAGACUAACUGAAGCGAAAGCGUUUGCCGAGGAUAUUUUCAUUAAUCAAGAACGAAAGUUAGAGGUUCGAAGGCGAUCAGAUACCGCCCUAGUUCUAACCAUAAACGUUGCCAACUAGCAAUUGGGUUGCGAUUCCUUUAGUUGGAGCGUAAAAAACUCCAACCAUUAUGAUCCACCCAGCGGCUCUCGUAGGGAAACCAAAGUGUUUGGGUUCCGGGGGAAGUAUGAUUGCAAAGUUGAAACUUAAAGGAAUUGACGGAAGGGCACCACCAGGAGUGGAGCCUGCGGCUUAAUUUGACUCAACACGGGGAAACUUACUAGAUUAGAACUCUGGAAUGAUUGACAGAUUGAUAGCUCUUUCUUGAUUCAGAGGAUGGUGGUGCAUGGCCGUUCUUGAUUCGUAUUCCGAAACGUCUGCUUAAUUGCGAUAACGAGUGAGACCUCACCCAACUAACUAGUCGGCUGGUGCGCUGUGGGGCGCUCAAGGCGCGUAGUGGGCUCUGUUAAGCGAGGUGGCAACACUGAGUUUAGCUACCAUUGCGCGUUGCCCUCUGCUCGCCGUCGGACUUCUUAGAGGGAUAAACGGUGUUUUAGCCGUAAGAAACGAGGCAAUAACAGGUCUGUGAUGCCCUUAGAUAUUCUAGGCCGCACGCGUGCUACAAUGGCGUGUGCAGAAAGCUUGUUCGAGGUUCGUCCAAGGAGAACUAACAGUUUGGCUUAAUGUUGGGGCAACUCGAUGUUGGGUCGAUUGUCAAGUGACCAUGGUUAGCGAGCUAAGAGAAACCGCGGUUGAAAAAUCGUGGCAAUCAUAAAUACACGCCGUGAUUUGGGAUUGGGGAUUGCAAUUGUUGCCCAUGAACGAGGAAUUCCCAGUAAGCGCAAUUCAUCAUAUUGCGUUGAUUACGUCCCUGCCCUUUGUACACACCGCCCGUCGCUACUACCGAUUGGAAGUUUUAGUGAGGCAUCUGGACUCGUCGGCCAUUGGUGGGGCAACCCUCCUCGGCCUGGUGGGGAAGUUUGUCGAACUCAAAUUUCUAGAGGAAGUAAAAGUCGUAACAAGGUUUCCGU